GUCACUCUACCGGAGGGGGCCAAUAAAGCGAGCAGCACUUCAGAAAGAGAAGAGCCUUUAACAAAGCAUAUAUAAUGCAAUUCAAUUAAACAGAGCGUGACAAGCUUUGUUAGAAAGGGGGGCGGGAGCACACUGCAAAAUAAAAUGAGAGUUAACUAUCCGGAUUAAGUUUAAAGCAGCCACAACAAUGAAACUGCAGAGCGCACCAGGGAGCGACUCCUUCCGAAAGAAGUACAGACGAAUACAGAACAGGCAGGUAGCAAGGAGCCCUAUAGAGCAUGCUACUGGUGCAGUGUAAUAACAGGAAGAAUUUGCAAUCUCAAAAAUAAGAUCUUGUCGCACAGUGAGCGGGGCCUGUUAUCAUUUAGUGGGCUGUGCAGAAAUACUGCUGUUGAAUGGUAAGGGAUAGAGAGGCUGCAAUAACCAAAAAUAGAGCAAUAAUAAAGUCGACCAAAAGAGACUUUUACAAUGUUAUCUGUAGCAGUUUAUUCUCACUUGCUGCCCAGCUCGGAGCAAUAACUACUUCUGUUGCCUUGGCAGUUCAGGGUGAGCAUACAAUGACCCAGAGGCCUCAACUCGUGGGCAGGGCAGCCAUGCAUUGUGACCUUCGUAGUAGAAUCAUAGAACUGUAGAAUUGGAAGGGACCAAAGGGUCAUCUAGUCCAACCCCCUGCAAUGCAGGAAUCUUUUGCCCAACAUGGGGCUCAAACUCUCAACCCUGACAUUAAGAGUUUUAUGCUGUACCGACUGAACUAUACCUAGUAACUAAACUAGGUUGUGUGAAGUAGUUACCAUGGGGGAAAUUACUGACAGCGUGAUAUCUGAACAACAACAACAAAUGUAGCCAUUCAAUUCUGAAAUGUAUGUGUAUACAUUGGCAUGCAUAAAGUAUGAUAUACACUUUACCAUGCAUUCCAGUUGAGUUUGAUGUUUAGCAGAUAUUUACAUUCAAUGCAAAGGAAAAUAAAGGAAGAAGCAGUAAGGAGAUGUCAUCUGUUUUUCAUGUGAGUGUGAUAACAAAACACCUAAGGACCUGAAAACAAAAUGAAUGCUGAUUUAAUAAAGGUUUGUACACUUAGCUGUUGAAGAGUUGCUAAGGGACUAACUGGGCAAUGUAAACAUACCAGCAGGCUCAUUUGUUGCAUAUCCUUGGUGUACUAAAGGAAUUGAUGAUUAAAUUUACUGAGCUUCUGGCAGCUACUGUGUUUGGAAGUAGGACAGGUACAGCCCAGAACUUCAGAGGGACAAUGUGUUCCUACCUUGCCUGCAAUAACAAAUACCUAGCAAUAUAUUUUGCAUUAACUCAUGGAACCCUUUGAAAAUGUGCUGUUCAUGUGCAGAAAUAUCAUUAUCCUCAUUCUUCAUUUUCAGCUGCAAGAAGAAACCAAUUACGGCCAGCAUCACCAUAACACUUCCAUGCUUCUUCAAAUUGCUCAGGGUUUAGAGGGGCAGCAGGUGGCAGAAGCUGGUAAAAAAGAAGAAGAGAGUAACAAAUCCGCAAUGAUCCUGACAGCAAAGAGAGCCUCUUAAGUGCUAUUUCCGUAUUACAUUUGGCAAGUGAAAUUUGGCCUGCAUGCUGUGAUUAUUGUCCAAACUCUUGCAAAAUAUGUCAGGCUGAAAAACGGAAAGUGAUUUUGACUACUAUGCAAGUCAGUGGCCUUAUCCCAGGGCCAUAACCCUGAGUACUUAACCACUUCUGGACAUGAGUGUUCUGUUUCCCAGCAUGCCCAGCAGUGUCUGCUGUCUGAGUUUUGUGGUCCACAAAACGGGGUUUUACCUUGCGCUGGGAUGUCAUCUGUGUAUGCAAAUGGUAUGUAUGCAAAUGGUAUGUGGACACUCGGUUAUUCUCAUGUGACGUUGUGUCCAAAUUUCAUUGGCAUUGGUCAAGCGGUUUUGGUGAGAGGUUGAGACCAACACACACGCCCCCU